rnacentral:lncRNA from 1 species
UAGUACAAAGUUUACUGAGAUGUAUUACUUCACAGAAAACAAUGAUUAUGUUUUAUAAACAUAUGACAGAAAUAAAUAUUAUGCUAUAAAUCAUUGAUUACAUUGUGUUAUUCUUACGUACAUAUAAGUGUGAAAGGAAUUUCUAAAAAUAAUUUCAAAAUCACUACCUAUUUGAAAGUUGCAGUUGUCAAUUACUAGGCGAAAGUAUUUUCAGAAAUAUAGAGAUGAGAAAUGGUAGAAACAUUUGUUAAAAGAAAUGCAAUAGGACAAAGAUAGUAUACUCUUGAAAUUAAACAAGGGAGCUAAAUCUAAGCUUCUAAACUAAAUUUCAUACUUUCAGUUACAAAAAAGUGGCAUCACAAAAAUUGGUUAAUAUCUAGACUCACUAAGUAUAUAUUCAACAAGAUUUUUAUAUUCCUUGAAAUUUCUAAAGAAUUCUAAUUAGAAACCUAUUCUAUUUUCAUUUAGACUAUUUUCCUGAAAAAGCGAAAAGUAAAAUGGAUAACUGCAACUCUCAAACAAAGUCAUAUGGUCAAAAAUAAGUCAUCCUGGGAAUUUUUUUUUAAUCAAGUACAAAUAUCACUUGAAAAAGAUGACUGACCUUUGUAGUGUAAUUAUAAAAAUAUUUAAGCAAAUGUUUUACUGAGUAGACUUAUUAAUCAGCUAAGAAAUUUUAAUUAAAAAUCUUGUUAUUUUAAAAAAUUCACAACAUUCAUACAAACUGCUAUACAUGAUCACAUAAUAUUUGGUUUUGGUCACAGAAACUGCAUCUGGGAUCAUAACUUAUUAUGAUGUUAAGAUGAAUUUCAUACUGCAUAUAAAUAAAAGAAUGUACAAAGAUACAUAUUGCACAGAAAGGUUCCAUAUCACUGGCACAUAACAUUUACUGGUCUAACAACAACACAACACAAGAACAGAGGAACGUAAUUAUUAUUAGAAAUUGCUGUGGAUUUAUUAAUAUUCUUUGGGGAAACCAAUUUUCGUGGAUUUAGUGAGAAUAUGUCAAGAACAUGUCUAAAUCUUCGGCAAAAUAUUGAUUUUUUAAAGAUCUUAAUGAACUUUGGCAAAACCAUGAAAUAAAAUAUCCAUGAAAAUACCUUUGUUCCUCAAUCCAUGAAAAUUGUAAGCACAUAAAUAAAUCAGCAGUAAGGGGAAAUCUUAAGUGUGGGUCUCAUUGGGGUCUUAGCGUGAUGCGGGAUUGCCGAUUUUUCGUAAGCGUAAAACGUGAAAGUCAAAUUAUUGUGUCGUGAAAACGGGAAAUGAGGUCUAGCGGGACCCGGUAAAUGACAAAAAAAUGAGAAUUGCUUACAUACAUAGUGUAAGCGGGAUACAGGAAUCUGACAAAACAAUAAGCGGGAUCCGGGAUCGGAACCCCCCAAUGAGACCCCCUUAAGUUAACUUUUAUGGUAAUAAUUAAGUAGAAUACGCCAUUUUGAUUUAAGGAAUUAUUAUCAUUUUAAUAACUAUCAAAAUCUGAGCAAUGUCAAAAUGACAUAUUUAAAAACUUUGAAUCUUACUGUCAUGGAAAUGCAUACUUGACCAUCUUGACUAUUAUUCUACAUGUAGUUUUACUACAAGAAGAAUAAAAUAUCAUGAAAACAGAUUAUUUUUAUUUAACUAUGUAUGUUGAAAAUUUUGUUGAAUGAAACUUAAAAACUUAAAAUGCAACAGGUAGUUUUUGGUUCAUGCUUUGACAUGUUUACAGUAAAAAAUAGGACAAUUUUUUGGAAAAAAAUUAAGAAAUUUGCAUAUCAAUUUCAUUGGCAGUAUUGAAUUCCAAGGUUACUUGUGAUUAUCAAAUAAAAUCCUUUCACUCAAAAGCUCCAUAGAUUCAAGAUUUAUCCAUUCUCAAAAUGAAUGCUCCUUAUCGCAUUAUCUCUUCAAACCUGCUGGGGAGGAUAUUUUCAAUUAAAUAAUCAGUCUUCACCUAUUUCAUAAUAUAACCAUCAUUUAUGGCUCCCGAGUUCAAAGUCAAUUUUAGUGUAAAA